CCUACGGGCGGCAGCAGUGGGGAAUAUUGCGCAAUGGGCGAAAGCCUGACGCAGCGACGCCGCGUGAGGGAUGAAGGUCUUCGGAUCGUAAACCUCUGUCAGCAGGGAAGAACGGUCACUGUGCUAAUCAGCAGUGAAUUGACGGUACCUGCAAAGGAAGCACCGGCUAACUCCGUGCCAGCAGCCGCGGUAAUACGGAGGGUGCGAGCGUUAAUCGGAAUUACUGGGCGUAAAGCGCUCGUAGGCGGUAUGUCAAGUCAAGGGUGAAAUCCCCGCGCUCAACGGGGGAACUGCCUUUGAAACUGGCAGACUGGAGUGUGUGAGAGGAUAGUGGAAUUCCAGGUGUAGGAGUGAAAUCCGUAGAUAUCUGGAGGAACAUCAGUGGCGAAGGCGACUAUCUGGCACAUAACUGACGCUGAGGAGCGAAAGCGUGGGUAGCAAACAGGAUUAGAUACCCUAGUAGUC
rnacentral:rRNA from 1 species